AACGCUAGCUACAGGCUUAACACAUGCAAGUCCGAGGGGCAGCGGGAUCGAAGCUUCGCUUCAAUCGCCGGCGACCGGCGCACGGGUGAGUAACGCGUAUCCAACCUUCCGCUUACUCGGGGAUAGCCUUUCGAAAGAAAGGUUAAUACCCGAUGGUAUGAUGAGAUUGCAUGAUAGCAUCAUUAAAGAUUUAUUGGUAAGCGAUGGGGAUGCGUUCCAUUAGGUAGUAGGCGGGGUAACGGCCCACCUAGCCGACGAUGGAUAGGGGUUCUGAGAGGAAGGUCCCCCACAUUGGAACUGAGACACGGUCCAAACUCCUACGGGAGGCAGCAGUGAGGAAUAUUGGUCAAUGGACGAGAGUCUGAACCAGCCAAGUAGCGUGAAGGAUGAAGGUCCUACGGAUUGUAAACUUCUUUUAUAAGGGAAUAAAACCUCCCACGUGUGGGAGCUUGUAUGUACCUUAUGAAUAAGCAUCGGCUAACUCCGUGCCAGCAGCCGCGGUAAUACGGAGGAUGCGAGCGUUAUCCGGAUUUAUUGGGUUUAAAGGGAGCGCAGACGGGUCGUUAAGUCAGCUGUGAAAGUUUGGGGCUCAACCUUAAAAUUGCAGUUGAUACUGGCGUCCUUGAGUGCGGUUGAGGUGUGCGGAAUUCGUGGUGUAGCGGUGAAAUGCUUAGAUAUCACGAAGAACUCCGAUUGCGAAGGCAGCACACUAAGCCGUAACUGACGUUCAUGCUCGAAAGUGUGGGUAUCAAACAGGAUUAGAUACCCUGGUAGUCCACACGGUAAACGAUGGAUACUCGCUGUUGGCGAUAUACUGUCAGCGGCUUAGCGAAGGCGUUAAGUAUCCCACCUGGGGAGUACGCCGGCAACGGUGAAACUCAAAGGAAUUGACGGGGGCCCGCACAAGCAGUGGAGUAUGUGGUUUAAUUCGAAGCAACGCGAAGAACCUUACCAGGUCUUGACAUCCAACUAACGAAGUAGAGAUACAUUAGGUGCCCUUCGGGGAAAGUUGAGACAGGUGGUGCAUGGUUGUCGUCAGCUCGUGUCGUGAGAUGUUGGGUUAAGUCCCGCAACGAGCGCAACCCUUGCUAUUAGUUGCUACGCAAGAGCACUCUAAUAGGACUGCCGUUGACAAAACGGAGGAAGGUGGGGACGACGUCAAAUCAUCAUGCCCCUUAUGACCUGGGCUACACACGUACUACAAUGGAUGUUAACAGAGGGAAGCAAGACAGCGAUGUGGAGCAAACCCCUAAAAACAUUCUCAGUUCAGAUUGCAGGCUGCAACCCGCCUGCAUGAAGAUGGAAUUGCUAGUAAUCGCGGAUCAGCAUGCCGCGGUGAAUACGUUCCCGGGCCU
rnacentral:rRNA from 1 species